CCGAAAGCUUACAUUGCCCGGAUCCUCUUGGAAGAUCCGUAGCGACACGGACACUGUCAAUAGGAGAGAUGAAACAGAGAGAUUCUGGAGUGGUUGGUGUUCGUUCGUACGUUAGUGCGAACGAGGCGUCCUACAUCCGUCCCGCCGAGCUUAUAAAACGCUCCAAUCCGCAGCGAUUCUUCAUCCUCGCAUAAUGACCAAUUUCACCGAAGACGCCUUCUUUCCGUAAAUAAGAAAAGGGGAUUGGAGCCCGAUAGGCGUUUCGUGUAUGCACGCUCGCCCGGACGACACAAGAAAAACGUGAGCCAAGGACCAGACAUCGAUCUAUGGAUUUCCAUCACCCUUCGAGCCACCCCGAUAAAGAUCUCGAUGUUGGGUGGAUGGAGCCUAACCCUGUGCGGCUCAACGAGCGGGAACUAGACAGCAAAAAGCCGCAACACGAAGACUCUGCACCACUGAGAACCUCACACCCGAGGAUCGUAAUUAACCAGCUCUACCCCAUCCUGUCGUGAAGAUAUAAACCUCCGCUUCUCCAUACAGUUCUUAUAUACAUUUAUGAUUGGCGUAAUCAGUAUCUUUCAGCGGAAUUUUUUUCUGAUCAAACUUCUUGCAUCUUCAAACGUCUGCUCAAUUAAUAACGAGGCCCGAGGGACUGCGCUCAAUUUGCUUUUGUUUCUCCAUCCAUACUAAUUUGAGUGGCGAGGCUCAUUCCGGGGUCCCUUUGAACGGUGUGCCGGAUUCACCAGCGAGUUCCAGAAGCGGCAGUCUUCUGGGCUCCACUGAGCGCUACGCAGGAAGGGCCCUUGCAUGCUCUCACCGCGGUUACGUGUGUGCACUCUCCGUCUUCCUUCCUCCUGCACUCGUAGCUAGCGAUGCUGCCGAGAGGAAGAGACGAGGAGGCCUCGUGCGGACCACGCGGCAGACAUACCGAUAGCUACCCGAAACGCCUUAAUAGUGGAUCCCGGGCUCACGCGAAAAGUGUGCGGCUUGAGGUGGGGGGCAACCUAAGAACAGAACGAGAGGAGAAGUCUCGUCAAUGGGAUCGAGGGAAUUUCGUUCGGAGCCGAAGAUUCGUUCUACCCUGAGAGGAACCGGGGAUAUCGAAGAUCAUGUUAGAUCUCUCGAGGCAAAAGCUGAAUAUUUCUUCUGUUCAAGAAUCUCGGAUAUCCCAGUUGGAAACAAUCGUGCCUCGCGAUAUUCGACUUAACCAUUUGGACUUUGGAGCAGUGCCGGAAACAAUCCUGGAUCGUAGAGCAUCGCAAUCUCGCUACCACGAAACUCGUCCUGAGGAUUU